rnacentral:rRNA from 1 species
UACGUAGGAGGCAAGCGUUGUCCGGAAUUACUGGGUGUAAAGCGCGUGUAGGUGGGAGGCCAAGUCUGUGGUGAAAGCGCCCGGCUCAACUGGGCAGAGUCCAUGGAAACUGGUCACCUGGAGGACGGUAGAGGCGAGUGGAAUUCCUGGUGUAGCGGUGAAAUGCGUAGAUAUCAGGAGGAACACCGGUGGUGUAGACGGCUUUCUGGACCGUAACUGACGCUGAGACACGAAAGCGUGGGUAGCAAACAGG